AUAUUAAGCUUUGACCUAAGGCCUAAAUCAGACAUUCUGUAGACUUGUUCAGGGAUGUAUAAAACAUAGACUUGAAUUAUAUUCAAGCCUACAAUAAGUUCACAGGUGAAUUGGAAGGGUGGAGUGCACUUUGCCCCUAAGAGACCAGCACAUCCAGAAGAUUCAAUAAUGAUCCUUCCGCAGGUUCACCUACGGAAA
rnacentral:misc_RNA from 1 species